AACUAACUUCCAUCAAUCCAACGAUCAUGGAUCUGAAAAUUUAGCAUAACAUACUAUGAGUAUAAGAAAUACUCAGUAAGAUACAAUGCUUGGAUUUUUAUCAUGAUAAUGCUACACAAAAGAAUGCAAUCAAACCCAUACUUGCACAUUCCGGCUUGCCGGUGCCUUUCGGACUUGUCCUAAGGCAUAAAUAGAUAUCUAACUUUGUGGACUUGUCCACCAUAAUCAUAUUAUGGUUUUUCAUGCAUAGCUUAAGCAUAAAUAUUACCAUGAAAAUCAUAA
rnacentral:lncRNA from 1 species